rnacentral:rRNA from 1 species
UACGGAGGGUGCAAGCGUUAUCCGGAUUCACUGGGUUUAAAGGGUGCGUAGGUGGGCAGGUAAGUCAGUGGUGAAAUCUCCGGGCUCAACCCGGAAACUGCCAUUGAUACUAUCAGUCUUGAAUAUCGUGGAGGUAAGCGGAAUAUGUCAUGUAGCGGUGAAAUGCUUAGAUAUGACAUAGAACACCAAUUGCGAAGGCAGCUUACUACCCGAAUAUUGACACUGAGGCACGAAAGCGUGGGGAGCAAACAGG